GGAUUCUAUUUACAGCCUGUAUCCAAUAUAGGAUCACUCUAUUACCGCCACAUAUCACCGCGCACCCCGCCUCACUUUUUCCUUCCCUCCGCCUAAUUUUCUCUGCUGCUACACAAUACUCACAAGUCAGUAAACUCGUCGGAGCUCUGAUGGGCGACCUUCGGCUACUGAAUCCACCUGAGAACGGCGACCCGGUAAUCCCUCCACCGCCGGCAUCUGAGAUCCUCAUUCCCAGUUCCGUCUCGAAGCGGCAGCGCCGCCCAAGUGUCCGCCUCGGUGAAAUCGGAGACCAGCCUGCUCACGAUCCCUCUCACCGCCGUUCCAAGUUCUCCAAACUUCUUGCCCCCUCUUCGGUCGGCGUAGCAGCCAAACCCUCAAACAAAUCCCGAGUGACCGCCGUCACUACGAGGCGUGUCCGCACGAACUGGCCCUCGCGGCUCGAUGACGGAUUCGACGCUGCCAUUGAAUUGAAAUCGAGCGGUGGGGAGGAUUCUAGAGAUGACGAGUUCGUCGAGGAGUCCGAGAGCCCCUCCAAUAGGAACGACCGUCGGGCUUCUGCUAGGGUUAGGGUUUCCGACGGAGGGGACGAGCCCUCGGAAGAGGGUUUCAAGGUGUGGUCGGGCGGCGUCCGGCCGUGGCUUGAGGGGAUAGGGCUUGGGCGGUACGCACCGGUUUACGAGAUACACGAAGUGGACGAUGAGGUGCUACCGCUGCUGACGCUGGAGGAUCUCAAGGACAUGGGGAUUAAUGCAGUCGGGUCCAGAAGGAAGAUGUACUGUGCGAUCCAGAAACUCAGAAAGAGCAGUGACUUGUGAAAAAUGAUUUCUUGAAGAAGAAAGUGAAGAGCUGCACCGCCUUGAUACUUGCUGCACCUCUUGGAUAAGACUUCCUGAAGGUCGUAGGUUUCCUUGGAUGGAGACAAGCACUAUAUUUAGAGUAUGGAGAAGGCCUUCCCAAACAUUUCAGCAUCAAUUAAUGUAAAGUUUGCUGACCUUCUGCAGAGUACAACAAUGAUGAUUGGAUCAUCAGGUUCUAGCUAUCUACAACCUUAGGGGGCUUUAUCAGUUAUUUGCAUCACCUUUCCAGCCGAAUUUGGAAGCCCUGUUACAUUAUUUUCUUACCUUCUUGGUGAAAAUAAUUGGUUAUGCACCUCAUCACCAUGCUUACAACCUCACCAUCUGUAUUCUAUGGUACAUUGUGUCAAUAUUUAUUUUUAUUGAAAGACUACCUGAAACUUGGCAACUUAUAAUGCUACAGAUCAUACAUAUUUUAAUAACUUAAAAUUUUUUGAAAUUUUUCAAAGGUCUAUCACAUUAUUUAAUUACAUGCAACAAAAGCAAAGUUUGAAGUUUUGAGUAAUGUAUAAAUAAACUUGUGUGCACCUUUCUUAGUUCCCAGUUUUCAUUGUCCUCUACAGGCAAUGCAAAUUACUGAAGCUUUAUGCUUAUGGCAGAAUCUUUUGAUGAAGUAUUAUAUAUGCAUAUAAAUUGAUUAAAAACUUCAUCUACAUAUGUUCUUUUACUUAAGAUGGGUCUAAUAUUUUAAAAGCCCUCAGAAUUUAGUCUCUAUCAAAUUGGGUUACAUUUUCUGUUAUAAAAUAAAAUUAACACCCUUUUACAUUUCUCUUCAUUUUUUUUAUUAUUCUGAUGUAAAAACACUUCUCUGAACUCCUCAAAACCAGCUUUCUUCAAUGAUCUAUGUCAAUUUCCUUUAUUUAAUCGAUGAUCUCUAGCGAUCUGCUUUACUGAACUAAUGUUUCUAAACCAAAUGUUGUUGGAUGAAAGAUUUCUCCUAUAGCAUACAACUAUCAUUUCCUUUUUUUGUAUUCUUUUACAUUGCUGGAGUAAGCAACUUGACCCUACAGAAAAAUGACCUAGCACUACAAGUAUUGAUAGUAAGAAUCAUAGGAUCUCUCUCAUUGUAUCAACAUCUCCUACGCUAGUUUUUCUUCUAUAAUGUUAGCGGAGUGAGAACUUGUACCUCUAUUGAAAAUGAUCGAAUCCUUGAAAAAUUAUUUUAGGAUGACAGUAUUUUGUUUAUAAAAUUAAUUUCAUUCAAAUUUAAGUAAAAAGGUGCAUUAGUUAAAUUAACAAAUUAUUUAACCCCUUAGCAAAAAUGAUCCAUCUUUGAAGACCAUAAAUCAAAUUGGGAGGAUAAUAGUGAAUCUCAAAAGUAGUUUUUUUAAGUGAGUUGUGAAGUUUUUUAAAUCAUGAACCAACGUGAACUGUGGCCCAAUCUUUGAGGGACUUCAAUAUUAUUUACCUUUUUAAUGACUAUUAAAAUAUGCAGAUUUAAAUGCAACCUUUCUUGUUUUUAAAAAUCUUUUACUGAUAUUUGAAAUGCUUGGCAAAUUACGUUAGAUAUGUAUCUUUAUCAUUCGUAGCCAAUAUUAUUGGGUUGGCCCCAAAAACCAACUUAAAACUAAUGAAAUUCUAUGCUCACCACAGAUUCUCUUGAUAGAUUAUUGUAUGCAUAUUAUAGAAAGCUCUAUCUUCGUAUCUCCUUCCUAUACUUCUAUUGUUAUGCUAGCCAGGUUGUAGCUAUCCGAGCUUAUCUUCACCUUUCACAUUUUUUUGCAACAAUUAUUCAGUUUGAGCUCUAUUACAUUUUUUUAUAGUAAACCUACUGUUUGAUCUCUAUGUUUACAACUCUGGUGUCAUCUGCAUGUAUAGUACAUUUUGCCAGUAUUUAUCAUUAUAAGCCAUCUUUAAUGCAGCUGAAAUGCACUUGUAGAAUUGCUUCCACGAGAAUCAUUUUUCUCUUUCUAUAUUUUCAUUUCUUGAUGCCAUAUCUUUGGUAUGAUUUAGGUAGAGGAUUUGUGGAGUUUCUUAUUUAGAUUCAUUGCUGGAAUGACUUGAAUUGCUUUGAAUGAAUAAGCCUAAUGCAAGCUACGAUAUUCUACACUUGUAAAUGUACCUUUGCUUUUGUUAAUGAAUACAAUAUGCAAUUUUUCAGGAUAAACCUUCACAUAAUCACUGUAUUCUUAUAGACUUUAGAGGUUUUAGAUUUUCCUUUCUAUGAUAUGUUUUCUUUUUGGUACUAAUGAACGGAAGGUUGCAAUGAAUGGAAAUAUUAAUAUAUGUUCAUGGAGCAUACUGGAUCACCAUUUGGUUCCAAUUUGAAAAUCUAAAUCACUGUAUAGUAGGGCUGCAAGCGAACCAAGCGUUCGAUGAGCUACUCAUUGCUCGGUUCGAUUAUAACUCGUUUGUGAUCGUUUAAUUAACUAAACGAACAAACUUGAACAAUAUUUUAAAUACUCGAUCCUUAAAUAAACAAGCUUGAACACUAGUGUGUUUGACUCAUUUAUGUUCGCGAACAACAUUAUUUGAAGCUCAUGAACAAGCUAUACAUUAAGCUCGGUAAAAGCUUGAUUUGUGAAUAAAUUGUUCAUGAACAAUAUUAGAUGAAUCAUAGAUUGUUUAUUCGUGAACGAGCUCAUUUGGUAGCUCGAAACACUAGUUAUAUAUAUUCAUGAACUUGCUCAUUUGUUAACUGAAGAAUAUUCAUUAGAUAUGUUUAUGAAUGUGCUUGUAUGAUAGUUUAAAAAAAUUCGUCAAAUAUGUUCACGAACAAAGCUUGUUAAGGCUUGUUUGUUUAAAGCUCGAUAAGCACUAAACGAACCGAACAUGAAUCAAACUUGAACAUCAAUUAAUUUAAACGAACCAAACAUGAACACUAACAAUAAAGCUCGAAUCAAACAUGAACCAAACUUGAACAAGCUGAUAGUAAAUGAACUCAAACAAGAACACUCAUAUACUCGGCUCGAUUCGAUUCAUUUGCAUCCCUACUGUAUAGUUUCUCAAGCUUAUUAAUUAUUCUGCCCAGCCUUUUUAAACAUGCUAAGCCAUUGUCUUGGAAUGUUUUGCUGCCACUGCUAUGAACUUAGUGUAUUGUUACGUGACCUAUAAAAAGGUUCAAGCAUCAAGCUACUUAGCAUCUAUUGAAACAGUAAUGGAAAAAAAAAAAGGUUUGUGGAAACCGAAGGGUUCUUUCAUCUCAUUAAAAUAUGAAAUUUGUACAUUAGGGAGCAAGUAUAGCACGAAAAGAAUGACAGGCCUGGUAGUGUACAUUCCUUCACACAUCUGAAAGACACUCGCCUCUCCAAUGUGGGACUUCCCAGGCUGUUCUCUCUAUAAAUCAUGUGAGAGUUACACAGUUCAGCGAGAAUGAUGAGAUUUGCAAUUAAUUUGUUGGGCCGGGGUUUGAAGU